rnacentral:rRNA from 1 species
GUAUAAGCAAUUAUACAGCGAAACUGCGAAUGGCUCAUUAAAUCAGUUAUCGUUUAUUUGAUAGUACCUUACUACAUGGAUAACCGUGGUAAUUCUAGAGCUAAUACAUGCUGAAAACCCCGACUUCGGAAGGGGUGUAUUUAUUAGAUUAAAAACCAAUGCCCUCACGGGCUCUCUGGUGAUUCAUAAUAACUUCUCGAAUCGCACGGCCUUGCGCCGGCGAUGGUUCAUUCAAAUUUCUGCCCUAUCAACUUUCGACGGCUGGGUCUUGGCCAGCCGUGGUGACAACGGGUAACGGAGGGUUAGGGCUCGACCCCGGAGAAGGAGCCUGAGAAACGGCUACUACAUCCAAGGAAGGCAGCAGGCGCGCAAAUUACCCAAUCCCGACACGGGGAGGUAGUGACAAUAAAUACUGAUACAGGGCUCUUUCGGGUCUUGUAAUUGGAAUGAGUACAAUUUAAAUCCCUUAACGAGGAACAAUUGGAGGGCAAGUCUGGCC